rnacentral:rRNA from 1 species
GACGAACGCUGGCGGCGUGCUUAACACAUGCAAGUCGAACGGAAAGGCCUCUUUCGGGGGGUACUCGAGUGGCGAACGGGUGAGUAACACGUGAGUAACCUGCCCUUGACUUUGGGAUAACUUCAGGAAACUGGGGCUAAUACCGGAUAGGAGCUCCUGCUGCAUGGUGGGGGUUGGAAAGUUUCGGCGGUUGGGGAUGGACUCGCGGCUUAUCAGCUUGUUGGUGGGGUAGUGGCUUACCAAGGCUUUGACGGGUAGCCGGCCUGAGAGGUUGACCGGCCACAUUGGGACUGAGAUACGGCCCAGACUCCUACGGGAGGCAGCAGUGGGGAAUAUUGCACAAUGGGUGGAAGCCUGAUGCAGCAACGCCGUGUGCGGGAUGACGGCCUUCGGGUUGUAAACCGCUUUCGCUCAUGACGAAGCUUUGUGUGACGGUAGUGGGUAAAGAAGCACCGGCUAACUACGUG